rnacentral:rRNA from 1 species
GCGCAGCAGGCGCGAAAACUUUACAAUGCGGGAAACCGUGAUAAGGGAACCUCGAGUGCUGGCGCAUAGCGUCGGCUGUCCAGAUGCCUAAAAAGCAUCUGAUAGCAAGGGCCGGGCAAGACCGGUGCCAGCCGCCGCGGUAACACCGGCGGGCUCGAGUGGUGGCCACGUUUAUUGGGUCUAAAAGCGGUCCGUAGCCGGCUCGGCAAGUCCCCCUGGGAAAUCUGGCGGCUCAACCGGUCA